UGAAAUUCCACUCUUACUCUCAAAGACACAUGGUCAGUAGCUCCCUUGUGCAGACUAGAAGAUGUGGAAAUGUUGUAUUUUAUAUUUUCUGUUACAUGGCAUGCAAAGGGCAUUCCUCCUGUCUUCCUCAACUCUUUUGAAUUUGUUUGUGUAUCACCCUCAGGGUGAGGAAGUGGGUAAAAGGAGAGUGGCUCCUGCAAAUGCUUUUACAGUUUUAGGCUUUUGCAUGUAAGUCAUCGCUUGAAACGUAAUAUUUAAAAAGCUGGAAAAUCUUGGGGCAAUGUAAGGUUCAUCAUCAUUGGGAAAUUCUGGCCGUCACCUUCAUGCAGGAGUUUCAGAAAUCACUGGGAGCCAAGCAGUCUGUCUAUGACACCACCAACAGAACUGGAUGUUCUCUGAAGGAGAAAACCUCCCUGACUGAUGACAACCUGAAACUGGAUGACAUGCUGAGUGAACUCAGAGAGAAAUGGACUAUAAUCUGUGGAAAAUCUGUGGAAAGGCAGAAUGUUCCUUAAGACAAUUUGGGUACUUUGUAGACCUCUUCCAAACACACAAUAGUGGUGCUUGGUGGGAACAUUUUUGGAACAUUAAAUAUCUCCUUUGCCUGGGACCUUCUGCUCAUCUGUAAUAA